CCUACGAGUGGCAGCAGUGAGGAAUAUUGGUCAAUGGGCGCUAGCCUGAACCAGCCAAGUAGCGUGAAGGAUGACUGCCCUACGGGUUUUAAACUUCUUUUAUCAAGGAAUAAAGUGAGGCACGUGUGCCUUUUUGUAUGUACUUUAUGAAUAAGGAUCGGCUAACUCCGUGCCAGCAGCCGCGGUAAUACGGAGGAUCCGAGCGUUAUCCGGCUUUAUUGGGUUUAAAGGGUGCGUAGGCGGACUGUUACGUUAGCGGUAAAAGCCCGGGGCUAAACCCCGGAGAGCCGUUGAAACUGGCUGUCUUGAGAUGUCGAGAGGUAUGCGGAAUGCGCAGUGUAGCGGUGAAAUGCUUAGAGAUUGCGAAGAACUCCGAUUGCGAAGGCAGCAUACCGGCGGCGAUCUGACGCUGAGGCACGAAAGCGUGGGUAUCGAACAGGAUUAGAUACCCCAGUAGUC
rnacentral:rRNA from 1 species